rnacentral:rRNA from 1 species
CUGGCGGCAUGCUUUACACAUGCAAGUCGAACGCGGUCGAGGGGUAACUCUCGACUGAGUGGCGAACGGGUGAGUAAUACAUCGGAACGUAUCCUGUUGUGGGGGAUAACCCAUCGAAAGGUGGGCUAAUACCGCAUACGCCCCGAGGGGGAAAGCGGGGGACCUGAGAGGGCCUCGCGCGAGGGGAGCGGCCGAUGUCGGAUUAGCUAGUAGGUUGGGUAAAGGCUGACCUAGGCGACGAUCCGUAGCUGGUCUGAGAGGAUGAUCAGCCACACUGGGACUGAGACACGGCCCAGACUCCUACGGGAGGCAGCAGUGGGGAAUUUUGGACAAUGGGGGCAACCCUGAUCCAGCCAUGCCGCGUGAGUGAAGAAGGCCUUCGGGUUGUAAAGCUCUUUCGGACGGAACGAAACGGCCGCUGUUAAUACCGGCGGUCACUGACGGUACCGUAAGAAGAAGCACCGGCUAACUACGUGCCAGCAGCCGCGGUAAUACGUAGGGUGCGAGCGUUAAUCGGAAUUACUGGGCGUAAAGCGUGCGCAGGCGGCUCUUUAAGUCAGAUGUGAAAGCCCCGGGCUUAACCUGGGAACUGCGUUUGAAACUGGAGGGCUGGAGUGUGGCAGAGGGAGGUGGAAUUCCACGUGUAGCAGUGAAAUGCGUAGAGAUGUGGAGGAACACCAAUGGCGAAGGCAGCCUCCUGGGCCAGCACUGACGCUCAUGCACGAAAGCGUGGGGAGCAA